rfam:Musa acuminata subsp. malaccensis Doubled-haploid Pahang (DH-Pahang) genomic chromosome, chr4
GCGGGGAUAGCUCAGUUGGGAGAGCAUUAGACUAAAGAUCUGAUGGCUGCGUGUUCAAUCCACGCUCACCGUA